AAAUGGUGCCGUAACUUCGGGAGAAGGCACGCUGACACGUAGGUGAAGUGAUUUACUCAUGGAGCUGAAGUCAGUCGAAGAUACCAGCUGGCUGCAACUGUUUAUUAAAAACACAGCACUGUGCAAACACGAAAGUGGACGUAUACGGUGUGACGCCUGCCCGGUGCCGGAAGGUUAAUUGAUGGGGUCAGCGCAAGCGAAGCUCCUGAUCGAAGCCCCGGUAAACGGCGGCCGUAACUAUAACGGUCCUAAGGUAGCGAAAUUCCUUGUCGGGUAAGUUCCGACCUGCACGAAUGGCGUAAUGAUGGCCAGGCUGUCUCCACCCGAGACUCAGUGAAAUUGAACUCGCUGUGAAGAUGCAGUGUACCCGCGGCAAGACGGAAAGACCCCGUGAACCUUUACUAUAGCUUGACACUGAACAUUGAGCCUUGAUGUGUAGGAUAGGUGGGAGGCUUUGAAGUGUGGACGCCAGUCUGCAUGGAGCCGACCUUGAAAUACCACCCUUUAAUGUUUGAUGUUCUAACGUGGACCCGUUACCCGGGUUGCGGACAGUGUCUGGUGGGUAGUUUGACUGGGGCGGUCUCCUCCUAAAGAGUAACGGAGGAGCACGAAGGUUGGCUAAUCCUGGUCGGACAUCAGGAGGUUAGUGCAAUGGCAUAAGCCAGCUUGACUGCGAGCGUGACGGCGCGAGCAGGUGCGAAAGCAGGUCAUAGUGAUCCGGUGGUUCUGAAUGGAAGGGCCAUCGCUCAACGGAUAAAAGGUACUCCGGGGAUAACAGGCUGAUACCGCCCAAGAGUUCAUAUCGACGGCGGUGUUUGGCACCUCGAUGUCGGCUCAUCACAUCCUGGGGCUGAAGUAGGUCCCAAGGGUAUGGCUGUUCGCCAUUUAAAGUGGUACGCGAGCUGGGUUUAGAACGUCGUGAGACAGUUCGGUCCCUAUCUGCCGUGGGCGCUGGAGAACUGAGGGGGGCUGCUCCUAGUACGAGAGGACCGGAGUGGACGCAUCACUGGUGUUCGGGUUGUCAUGCCAAUGGCACUGCCCGGUAGCUAAAUGCGGAAGAGAUAAGUGCUGAAAGCAUCUAAGCACGAAACUUGCCCCGAGAUGAGUUCUCCCUGAGACUUAAAGUCUCCUGAAGGAACGUUGAAGACGACGACGUUGAUAGGCCGGGUGUGUAAGCGCAGCGAUGCGUUGAGCUAACCGGUACUAAUGAACCGUGAGGCUUAACCUUACAACGCCGAAG
rnacentral:rRNA from 1 species